AAUUCUCAACCCUUUCAGCUUUUGCGAGUUGAUUUGGCUUGGAUGUGGGGGUUGCGGGCUUCUCAGAAGUCGGCUCCUCUUAAAUGCAUUAGCGGAACCUUUGUGGACCAGCUUUGGUGUGAUAAUUAUCUACGCCAUGGCCGUGAAGCAGCUUUACAUGGGGUUCAGCUUCUAACCGUCCAUUGACUUGGACAAUUUCUGACA
rnacentral:misc_RNA from 1 species